GACGAACGCCGGCGGCGUGCUUAACACAUGCAAGUCGAACGGAAAGGCCCUGCUUUUGUGGGGUGCUCGAGUGGCGAACGGGUGAGUAACACGUGAGUAACCUGCCCUUGACUUUGGGAUAACUUCAGGAAACUGGGGCUAAUACCGGAUAGGAGCUCCUGCUGCAUGGUGGGGGUUGGAAAGUUUCGGCGGUUGGGGAUGGACUCGCGGCUUAUCAGCUUGUUGGUGGGGUAGUGGCUUACCAAGGCUUUGACGGGUAGCCGGCCUGAGAGGGUGACCGGCCACAUUGGGACUGAGAUACGGCCCAGACUCCUACGGGAGGCAGCAGCGGGGAAUAUUGCACAAUGGGCGGAAGCCUGAUGCAGCAACGCCGCGUGCGGGAUGACGGCCUUCGGGUUGUAAACCGCUUUCGCCUGUGACGAAGCGUGAGUGACGGUAAUGGGUAAAGAAGCACCGGCUAACUACGUG
rnacentral:rRNA from 1 species